UGACUUUACUGACAGGCGGGAACACCUAGCUGUUGGCUAGGAGCAGGGGUGGAUCUACAGGGGUGGCAUAGAGUGGCAAGUGCCACCCUAAAACACAGCCUUGCCACCCCUGUUGCCACCCCAGUUGGAAGGAUUUAAUUCAAAGAAAAGUUAUGCCUCAUCGGACACUUGUAUGAAUUACAGACUGCAGUGAGUGAAUGCAGCACGAGACGACGCGACAUUACCCCCCCCCCCUCCAGCACCCCGGGGCAGGUUUCAUUUGAACAACACAGCGGCGCGAAGAGACUGUCAAGAAAUGGAAGAAUAAUGAAGGCGCAGGCCUAAAAGAGUUAAAUAAGUUUGGAUUUAAAAGGUGACACGCUGCAGGCUGGUGGUUGAAACAGACAAAAUGAAGAGGAAAGACAUCAGCAGUUUUUUCUCACCAAAGACCAAGGUGAAAAAAAUAAAGUCUGAGCAACUGGGCAAGGUAGAUGGAGGAGAUGACCAGGGACAAGACCAGAAGAGGAGGAGAAGAGAAGUGUCAGUGACAACAUGGAAGGCCAAGGUGAUCAGAGACAGGAAGAGAUGGAAGGAGAAAAACACAGUGAUGAAGAGAUGGAAGAGGGACAGCAUUGUCAGAGAGACAAGAAGACAACAUACCUUUUCCAGACAGUGAGAGGGAUAAGACAGAGUCAUCACAGAUGAUCUGCAGUCGAGCUGGUCCACAGGGUAUGAAAGUUACAACUAAAUAAGAACCACAAAUGACAUCAUUUAACACAGCCUGAUCUUUAAACAUAUAGGAAACCAAUAACAGCCAGUGUUUCCCCUACCUGUUCAUUACAGUUGCGUUUAAAUCUGAACAUUAAAGGAAAAAUAUUUAAA